CACAGGAAGGGUUUUGUGGGAGGAAACUACUAAAAUAUAGACGUAUAAAAGUAAACUACACCAUAAUGAGUACCUUUUCAAGAAAUUUGCUUUCCUAAAGUCCCACUCCAAUCAUCUUUUGAUCUAUUUAAAAGCAUUCCCGGUGGUCUUUUGGUUAUUAUUAUGACAUUUUUACCAUUUUUUUUAAAUAUUGUAAAAAUAAAUACUACAAAAUCAUGUUAAAAACACCAUGAACACAAUUUUCAUCUCAUCGGAGUGGAUGUUUAAAUGAGCACUGAUGUUAGUAAUAUGGUCACACUGGUUAACACUGCAGGAUCCUUUGAUUUCCCUGAGGUGUCCUGCCAAAAGAAAUCAAUAAAGUUUGAUAUUAUCUCAUCUUAGAUCUCAGCCAUGGGGCAUUAGGGUAAGGACAAUUAAGGUAGCACUGCUAAAUGUAUAGCUUUUCCAUGUAAAGUUGUUGCUUUAGAAGAUGUAUAAAGUGCUCUAAAAGGAACUUAUUUUACUAAAGAAGUUCUUCAGACAGGAAAGUGUCAUUAAAGUGAUAAAAAUUGUACAGGUGUUUUUAUUAAACCGCAUUACAAGCAGACAUGUAAUUCAAUGUGACCAUUUAUGGUAAAAAAUGUUCUUCGAGCAAAAAAAGACUAAGAAAGAAAUCCCACUACAUCAUUAGAUAGCUUUGCAAAUCAGUCAUUUUUGCCAUACUGUGUAGUGCUACACUACAACAAUAACAGCUGAUGUCAGAGGACUUCAGGGCAAAAGGAGAGAGAAAAUAUGCAGCACACUUUAUACAAAAGUGGAGAAACACCUCCUGGUUCUCACCGUAUUUACUUCCUGUUCUCUGCACCUAUCUUCUUACAUUUCUUUUUUUCUUUAUCCUUUUCAUUCAAAAAAGAAAAAAAAAAAGCAUGUCAUCCCUUCAGGACACCAUCAACGCUUCGUUGAGUCUCGGCUUCCAACUUCUGCUCAGCCUCCUCAAGCAAAACAUUGGGAGAGUGAGAAACGUUUGAAGAAUUUAACUCAGAAAAAGAAACAAAGAAACUGUAGCAAAGAUAGAAAAUAAGAGUUUAUCAGCUAAAAAAAAAAACAAUCUUGGUCGUACUGACAACAAGAGAUUAGUUUCAGACAAAAAAACAACAUGAUGUCUGCCAUGUGUGGCCUCACUGACCUUUUGUUAAUUUGUUAGAGCUGUAAAGCUGCUACAGCUCAUCAGCAGCUAUGAUUCCCUUUAGCUCAUCAGCCAGAACAAGACAGAAACACAACUCCCAGCAUGGAGAUCCAACCGAGUUUGGAAAAAUAAAAGCCCGUCUCUUUUGAAGUUAGUGGCCCCUGACUGAGGUUAAACAGCAGAGCUCUUUUUGUGUCGCAAAUGACUAAAGCAUGUGGACAAACCUAGCGGCAGCAAAGUUAAAACGUGAACACAGAAUAUUUGACAAGCACAAGAAGGUCAAGGUACUUUCCUGUUUUGCCAUCAUGAUGUCAUCCACUAAAAGAAAAACGAGGAAAAGGUCAGAAGAAUGAGGAUACAUCAAUGAAAGCCAAUUAAAGGAUUUAGGUGAAUGUGUUGACAGAGUGACACUCGAGUGCAGACCCUAGGUUUUUCUUUUUUCUUUUUUUCAAACAUCCUCCACUGGAGAUACCAGCAUGACAAAGUCCUUGGUUUGAUCACUCAGCUGAUGACAGAUACUUCCUCCAGCCCACUGCCUCACAAUGAUGUUUACAGAGACUGCUUCACAACAACCUCCCAAACAGGCAAAACUAAGUAUACAUAAUUAGGCACAAAAAAUCUGCUUCAGUACAGACUUUGCAGCCUGCUUAGCAGCUCUAUUUUAAAAUAAAAUAAAUUAGUAGAUGACAACCAUUAAGUAAAGGGCAACACUUCUGUUUGAGCUUCUCUGCUGCAUCUUUUUUUCCCCAAACAAUUUACUGUCAAAAGGGUCUAAAACUGGGUGUUCCAGCACCGAAAGUCACUAGGCAGCAGGUUACUUAUUAAAGCAAACCAGAAAAAAGGAAGAAACAGCAAUAAAUAGAAAAAGAGAAGUUGGCACAAAAAAGGAAAGAUUAUUUAAUUUUGGUUGGAUUUAUUAUUAACCUGGACAACUUUAAAACGGUUGAAUUUCCUAUUAAAGUGGCUCAAGCAAUGAGAUAUAGUGCUAGAGAUGGGACGCCAGCCUGUUGGCAUUGUCCAAGGUAUGUAAAGAUCGACGCCACAUUGGGAUGUUGGAAUGGUCUGUAAACAAUGAGACAUGGGUAAGCAGAUAUAGUAAAAUGAAAAUAAAAUGCUUAAUUUUGGUCAGAUUUUAAAAUGAAAAAAAAAA